rnacentral:rRNA from 1 species
UACGUAGGUGGCAAGCGUUGUCCGGAUUUACUGGGUGUAAAGGGCGAGUAGGCGGGCAUGCAAGUCAGAUGUGAAAUCUGGGGGCUCAACCCCCAAACUGCAUUUGAAACUGUGUGUCUUGAGUGAUGGAGAGGCAGGCGGAAUUCCCGGUGUAGCGGUGGAAUGCGUAGAUAUUAGGAGGAACACCAGUGGCGAAGGCGGCUUGCUGGACGACAACUGACGCUGAGGCGCGAAAGCGUGGGGAGCAA